UCAGGGUGGAUGAGGGCUUCGGGUCAAAUUUGCCUCGUUUUGGAGCAGGAGGCGCACAGAGGUCAGGAGCGUGUCCUCUGACGGCCGAUCGUCUGGUAUCAGUUACCAUUCUCCCACCUGUUACCUGUGUAAACCUGGCCCCUCUAAGCCUUGGUUUCCUCAUUCAUAAAGAUGUGUGGCCUCCCCAUGCAGUGUGGCUACGACCCUGGCAACUAUUUUGUGGACGUGUUUUUGUGGGCAGUGUCUACAACGCAAGAGGGAUGGGAGAUGAGCAGGGAGGCCAGACCAAGGUGUCUCGGGAUCCUAAAAGACCUGGCUGUCGAGCAAAGCAGGUUGGCUGCACCAUGUCCGGGAGGAAGGGGACUCAUGACUCCAUGACCCUACAGUCACAGAAUUCCAAAUAGGAGACUAUCUGGGCGUAGCCAUCACCCCUCCACAUGGGGCGCCGCCUCCUUCAGGGUGCAUGAGGCCAUAUUAAAUUUUAUUUACUCUUUCUUGAAUCGUUUUGCGUUCAGUUAUGUAAAAUAAACUUUUCCCUCCCCUCAUCAUUGCCAUUAAGCCUCUAGACUCUGAACAAAUCGCAACGCGUCUGUUUAGGAAUUCGAUUUGGCUGUGUUGGAUAUUAAUAGAAAGUCCACGUAUUUUUGGUCCUUCCAUAAAAUAUGAAGAAAAGUGCUCUUAGCAUCCUAUAUAAAACUGUGUUGUUACAUAUAUGUGUGCAAUCGAAAAAAAAUCAUAAGGAAGAGAAAAUACAUUUAUAGUGUGUACCGUGUCUAUUGAAAAAAACCCACAUGUAAGUGGACCCAAGCAGUUCAAGCCACGUUGUUUAAACGUCAACUGUAUUAACUUUAUUCUUUGAUGACAAAGCUUAGACUUCAAGGCCAAGGAAUUAUUACCAAAUGUUUACUCAAAGGUGUAUUAUUUAUAGUAUUUCUGACUGCUCUCAUAAAAGGCUCUGAAGACGGGAAAGCAAAAAGAUGAGUUCACUCACCUACAUGUGCACACGCGUGCACACACAGCCAGACACACAUUCACAUGCCCUCCUGCAUAGAUAUUAGAACAAACAGUUUACUUGGCUGUUUUUAACAAUGAUUUACCGUAAAAGAAAUAAGCUGUUGUAGACUUCUC